AUGAGCAGCUGGGCCUUGGGAGCACAAAUGGGCCUUAAUGAGCCUGCCCAGCCUCCCCUGGGCCCAGUUCAGCUCAGCCAGGGGCUUUGGUGCUGUCCGUGUGCCCCAUCUCAGUUAAGUGCUGGCCAGGUCUUCUCAGAGACGUUCUACAGGCUCCUUGUUGUCAGUCUCAGGCUUUACCUGCCCUUUGUUUUACCUGUGGAAAGCAGAGUGGUUCUGGCUGGGCUCUCACCAGUGCGGUGUGCAACAGCACCUGUGAGGAACAACCUGGGCUCAGCUGGGCACACUUAUCCAAAUGAAAAAAAGAUUCAGUUUCUUCUGAGCAUCAAGCAGACUGCCCUUGUCUUCACACCCGUGGGGAGCAUCAGCUGCAGAGGGGAGACAAAGCCUGCCUGUGCCCAGGACAUGGGCAUUGAACAGGAGUGGUUCCUGCCCCUUGUGGAAUUUGAGUGGAAACUCAGGCAUGGGUGUCCUGGGGUGGCUUUAUGACACUGGUAUCCCCAGUCGUCUGGUUUAUGUUAUAUAUUAAGUUCUGCACCUUUAAGACUUGCUCUGAGGGUGAGAAUGGGGGGAAGAAGAAGCAUGCAGUUUGUGUUAAGGAAAAACAUCACUCCCACACAUCUCGCUCCUGGACUGUGGUGUCUGCAGCACGGACAGACAGCGGGACAGAGCUUCUCUCUGGCUUUUAGUUAGUUUUAGCUAGCUGAGGCAGAGGAGUUCUCUGGACCUUUGUUUUUUUUCCUUUUCUUUCUGUGCAAGCCUGCUCUGGACUGAACACCCAGCCAAACCCCGGGAGCUCAGGCCUGUGGCCCACCGGGGCCUGGGCCUCGGCACUUUCCAGCGCCAGAGGGACUGAUAAGAACCUGAGCGAGCUGAGCUACACCACAUGAAAAGGACUUUUUCUUCCUAGAUUUGCCAUCCCAUCAAACAGCAAGAGGUUUUAUUAUUUAAUAUUAUUCAAUUUCUGUUAAAUAAACAGCUUUUUCCACUUCUCUCCA
rnacentral:lncRNA from 1 species